CUAAAGCCGGUCAGUUUUGGACGUGUCUAAUAGAUGGCGUGAAGGAAUUUUGUUUUGUCAAUUGUGGGCUUAUGGCGGCUCGUUGUCUAAAUCUAUCUUCAGCUACAGCUAUUUUCUUCGAAAGUUACAAAUGAACACAUAGGUAAAUUCGAGUGAUUUCGUUUGUAACUUGGCGGUGAUGUGUUCUAUUCCGUGUUCAUAUUGGAUAACCUUAGUGUUUCUCAUCAACUUACAGAAGGAAACGUAGCCUACCGUUGACUAUUUUGUUCAAAAUGUGCCAUCGAAAUGACACAGGAUUCAUUAUAAUUAUCUGCUGUAAGAACUGGACUUGCUAGAUCACCAACCCUAUCACAGACCAAUCUCUCAUUCAAUCUUCAAGAGAACCUUGACUAACUGUUUGGUGGUUUAAGGUGUUUGAAACUAUAGGUUUAAAUUUGCAUGACAAACCUUAAGAAAAGUUAUGUUGAAGAAAAAGGACUGACUGAUAGUCAACAAAGUACGCUACCUUGUUUGGUAACCUGUUGGCUGCUUGCCUGCUUCCCUUGAAUCUCCUUUUUUACUUCCUUAAGCUUGAUUUAAGGGUAACUCCUUUGCUACUUAUCAUCAUGGACUUCAUCCAUUGGUGAUGCUGAAAUUCAGGAGAAUGCUGUCAUUUAAGAGUCAAGACUGAUAAAUUGUGUAGUUGUUAGAUGAAACAAGUGCGUUAUUGGGCUCCCUCGCUAACCAUUGGCCGUGUAAUCUCCCUGGCUGCAGUCAAUUAAGGCAGUCUCCUCCUGUCUUGAUUGACUGAUGUGCGAGUUUCAAAAGCAGUUUAUCACCCAAAUGAGACAAAAGGAGUAAUAUCAGUUGUUUUAAAAUUAGCACAAAAACACAUUUGUUUUGAACCGGACGCUUUGUUUAUUGAAAUAACAGUUAUGGUUGAUUAUAUAAUUUGUUUUUAUUCAACUAAAUUUAUUUAAAGUUAAUAUUGUUAUAUUGU